rnacentral:rRNA from 1 species
AGUGAACGCUGGCGGUAGGCCUAACACAUGCAAGUCGAACGGCAGCACAGUAAGAGCUUGCUCUUACGGGUGGCGAGUGGCGGACGGGUGAGGAAUACAUCGGAAUCUACUUUUUCGUGGGGGAUAACGUAGGGAAACUUACGCUAAUACCGCAUACGACCUACGGGUGAAAGCAGGGGAUCUUCGGACCUUGCGCGAUUGAAUGAGCCGAUGUCGGAUUAGCUAGUUGGCGGGGUAAAGGCCCACCAAGGCGACGAUCCGUAGCUGGUCUGAGAGGAUGAUCAGCCACACUGGAACUGAGACACGUUCCAGACUCCUACGGGAGGCAGCGGUGGGGAAUAUUGGACAAUGGGCGCAAGCCUGAUCCAGCCAUACCGCGUGGGUGAAGAAGGCCUUCGGGUUGUAAAGCCCUUUUGUUGGGAAAGAAAAGCAGCAGGUUAAUACCCCGCUGUUCUGACGGUACCCAAAGAAUAAGCACCGGCUAACUUCGUG